UACAGAGGGUGCCAGCGUUAAUCGGAAUGACUUGGCGUAAAGCGUGUGUAGGUGGUUGGAUAAGUUAGAUGUGAAAUCCCAGGGCUUAACCUUGGAACUGCGUUUAAGACUGUUUAACUAGAGUACUGUAGAGGAUAGUGGAAUUUCCAGUGUAGCGGUGAAAUGCGUAGAUAUUGGAAGGAACACCAGUGGCGAAGGCGACUAUCUGGAUAGAUACUGACACUGAGACACGAGAGCGUGGGGAGCAAACAGG
rnacentral:rRNA from 1 species